AUUGAACGCUGGCGGCAGGCUUAACACAUGCAAGUCGAGCGGGGAAGGGUAGCUUGCUACCUAACCUAGCGGCGGACGGGUGAGUAAUGCUUAGGAACCUGCCAUUUAGUGGGGGACAACAUUCCGAAAGGAAUGCUAAUACCGCAUACGCCCUACGGGAGAAAGCAGGGGAUCUUCGGACCUUGCGCUAAAUGAUGAGCCUAAGUCGGAUUAGCUAGUUGGUGGGGUAAAGGCCUACCAAGGCGACGAUCUGUAGCGGGUCUGAGAGGAUGAUCCGCCACACUGGGACUGAGACACGGCCCAGACUCCUACGGGAGGCAGCAGUGGGGAAUAUUGGACAAUGGGCGGAAGCCUGAUCCAGCCAUGCCGCGUGUGUGAAGAAGGCCUUAUGGUUGUAAAGCACUUUAAGCGAGGAGGAGGCUACCAGUAUUAAUACUACUGGAUAGUGGACGUUACUCGCAGAAUAAGCACCGGCUAACUCUGUGCCAGCCGCCGCUGUAACAC
rnacentral:rRNA from 1 species